rnacentral:snRNA from 1 species
GGAUGUGAGGGUGACCUGGCUGUGACAUCUGUCACCCCAUUGAUCGCCAGGGUUGAUUCGGCCGAUCUGGCUGACUAGGCGGGUGUCCCCUUCCUCCCUCACUGCUCCAUGUGCGUCCCUCCUGAAGCUGUGCUCUCAGUUGAAGAGGACGGACUUCCCCGAGUAGAGAUAGACCGGUCCCCUGCUAGAACCUCCAGAGAAGCUCUCGUGAUGGACUUUAUACUGACUCACUGCAGACUAUUGUGCACUUUUGCUUUAGGCAUAUUUUGCCCUAA